GCUGAAAUACUCCAUGCUGGACCUGUGCCUUGAGCUUAACGUCUUGUGAAGGAAGCUGCAAGGGAAGAUCAUCUUUCAUUUGGAGGAAGGAGAAGUUUCACAGCUGUGAGGAAACAGUUACAGAGACAAGACUUGCUGAAAUGAAAACGAACUAAUUAUCAUGGAACAUGAUUUUUCUACAAGUUAUUUGGGUGCGAGAGUUAACCAGCUAUUGGCUUUAGGGCCUCUGGUUCUUGCAGCUUUCUGACAGUGUUUUGUGGAGCAAAUGGAUAACCUGUCCUGAAGCCACUUCAGAUGAGAUAUCAGAGACUCAACGUUUACCCUUCAAGCCCUCUAUUGACAUGAAGUGCUGGAACAUUCCUUACAGAUGUGUCAGGCACAGGAAAUAUCCCCAAGAGGCUGAAAGGCUGCUAGACCGUUGGGACAUUAAACAAGCAUUCACAAACAGGAGCACCCUGGCACAGGAACCAGAUAAGUGCAUCCACCUUAAGCAUGGAAGGAAGCAAAGAGCUUCUCAGAGACUGACCCGCCAUGGUCAGGGGCAUGCCAGGGGCUGGUGUAUGGAAUUGAAAUGUCCAUAUGAAGAGGUUGUGGAACAAAUUGUUGAAGCAAGCAGUGAUAAGAAGCCAGGACUAGACAGUGACCUAGAAGUGCUAAUAGAAGUCAGGAAUAAAACAACUGUAAGCUGCUGUAGUCUUGUUUUAAACUACCAGAGGUCUGGAAGAUGGCACAUGUGAUGCCAUUUAAUAUCUUUUAAGGGAUUUCAAAGGCUUUUUGUGGGUUCCAGAGGAGAUCAUGGGAACUACAGGAUGAUAAAUCUGAUGUCUAUACCAGGCAAAACAAAUCAAAUGUCAUAAUGAACAGAAUUAAGAGAUCAAUGGUUUACUUGGGAGACAUGAAUUUGCUUUUCAUUUUAUAGUACUAAUAAUUUAAAGAGAUCUAACUCACAAUCUUUCACAUCAACAGCUAUGUAGACAGAGA
rnacentral:lncRNA from 1 species